rnacentral:lncRNA from 1 species
UUUUUGUAGCGUAAAAGCUAAAUAAAUUCAUACAUACUGUAAUACAAAUAAUCAGAGCAUAAGAUUUAAUUUACAGUGACACGUGGGCCCACGAACGACCAAAAGUUUCAAAAGCGAUAAACCUACAAUUUUUGAGGAUGUAAGUCCAACUGUAACCCUCAACAAAGUGAGCUAUCUACCGACUAUCCUGAGCCUGAAAUGGGUGAAAAUGAGGGUGGUGAGAUUAUAUAAUCCCAGCGAGUAAACAAAUACCAUCUAAAAUAUCUAAAGCUGAGUAAAUGGAGACAGAUAAAAUAGUUUAACAUAAAAAUUAUUCACAACAUUUCGAACUUAUUUUAAUAAGAUAAAAUAGAUUCAUUUCACCCAAAUAAACAACAAGGCUUAUGAUUUCUUGAAAAGUUUGGCUCAUGUCAAAAUCAUUCUCAUACUCAGUUAUUAGGGAUACCUUGAUCGAGGGCUAUCCCAACCGAGUCCGCCAAGGCUGUUAAAAAUCAUGUACGCAUAAAUCAUGUUUUUAUUUUGAAAACAUAGUCGUUCCUUGGAGUUGGCUGAGUUCACCCUCACGUGGUGGUUUGGCGUGAAGUGAACUCUAAAAUGUUAACCUCAUGAGUUAUCCAUCCACGCCUCUCAUACUAAGGUAUGAAUAUAAUAGAGUUACCGUGCCCCUCUAAUAGGCUGGUCCACGAAACCUGUCCACUGUAGUGACCAAUUAUAACCCACAAAUUCAAUAAAAUUCAACAGCAUGACAUGACAAUUAUUUCAUUUUAUAGCCUCUCAAGGCAAAUGAACAAUUCAUACUUUUUCAGCACAUUUACCAAAUCAACCAUUCAUGCCAAUAUUAUCAUAAGCCAUUCAGUUCAAACCAUGAUUUAUAACACAACAAUUAGUCUCCAAUUACUCUAUUUUCAAACCAUCAUUUCAUUUCAAGGCAAUGUUAUAAAAUCAUUUCAUUAAAUCACAUUUUAAUUACAAAACACAAAGAUUUACCAUUUAACUCAUUUUUCAUAAAAUCACCAAAUCGUAUAAAAACCACUUUAGAUAAUUAAGAUGAUAGUAAGGUUACUCACUAUUUCGGGAGUCGAAUUUCGAGUACUCUGAUUCUUGAUCCUUAGGUACUA